AGGUGUCUGCCUUCUUUCACCCAACAGUGGGAUUAACCUUGACAACUUCCCUUUACCCUACCAGUUCUUUCCAAUCUCCGGGGCAUCUCAACUCAAGCACAAAGCUUCUGGCUUGCAGAAGUGCAGUGUUCCUCAUGCUCCCCCUCGACCUCUGAAUGUACAGGCAACUCAUUCCUCAAGUCAUUAUAUACAGAAAAAAAGAGAGAAAGGUCGUGCCAAGAACAACAAAUCACAGCAGGCCUAACACCAUCCAUGGUGACAUUUGGGCAUGUCUUGCACCUACAAAUUUGAAAGAAAGGAAAGGACAGCGUCACUUGGACCUCGACACAGCAAGACCAGGGAGAAGCUCAGCACAGCCUGGGUACCUUCUACCUGGCUCUGUUCCCAAGAGUUCUUCUGGUUGCUUUUCAGAUUCGCCUGCAUGAAGGGUGUCAUUGUGCUUCCUGAUCGUGAUUUAAAAUAGAUGGUAAUGAAUCAUCUUCCACAGCAAGUUUGACUCAGGUGACGGGAAUUUACAUAGCCAAGGAUGACCUCAAACUUGCUGUGUAGCAGAGGAUGACCUUGGACUUCUCAUCCUUCUGCUUCCACCUCUCAAGUGUUAGAAUUACAGGCACACAUCAUCAUGCCCCAGUUAUAAGAUGUAAACACGUUGUCUACCAA
rnacentral:lncRNA from 1 species